rnacentral:rRNA from 1 species
AUACGGGGGGAGCGAGCGUUGUCCGGAAUCAUUGGGCGUAAAGGGCGCGUAGGCGGAUUGGUCAGUCAGAUGUGAAAUGUCCCGGCUUAACCGGGGAGUUGCAUUUGAAACUUCCGAUCUAGAGUGUCGUAUGGGAUGAUGGAAUUCCUGGUGUAGCGGUGAAAUGCGUAGAUAUCAGGAAGAACACCGGUGGCGAAGGCGGUCAUCUGGGCGAAUACUGACGCUGAGGCGCGAAAGCGUGGGUAGCAAACAGGAUUAGAAACCCUAGUAGUCC